GUCAGUUGGCCGGAUUUGAAGUGGAAUGUGUGAAACACAUUUGACUGUUAAUAAUGAAUUUACUCAACACCAUGUGACCAUCAAACCACAACUGACAACUUGGCAUGGAAAAAUGUGUCUAUCAACCUCACUUCAAGGCAGCCGAUAUGGGACCACAAGAACUCUAUGAUCUAUCAGC